ensembl:lncRNA
AAGGUAGCAAAGAGCAAGUCGUUAAUCUCAGCUGUACAAAAUCCGACAUUCUCUAAAACCAUCUUCUGGAGGGUACUGUAGGUUGAGUACUUUGCGGAUACAAGAAUAACUGCAACAAAUGAUUUGAUAAUAACGCACGAGUUGGUCACAUCUCCCCUCAUUUUUUCCACCCAUAAUUUGGUCAAUUUUGCCAAUUCCCAGCCUCCAUCCAGCUCUCCUCAGGACGAACGCGCCAUCCACAUACAUGCCUAUGAUUGGCUACUGUUGCUGUGAUUGGGGAGAGAGAGAGAGAGCAAGAGAGUGAGGAAAUGUGAGAGAGAGAGAAUGAGAGUGAGCGAGUGUGUGAGAGAGACCGACAGUGAGUGAGAGAGAGAGUGAGCGAGUGUGAGAGAAAGAGCGAGAGAGAGUAUGAGAGACCGAGAGUGAGUGAGAGAAUGAGAGAGAGAGAGAGAGUGUGAGAAACCGAGAGAGAAUGUGAGAGUGUGAGAGUGUGAGUGAGAGAGAGAGAGUUAGAGAGAGUGAGGGGGGAGUGUGUUGUGAGAGAGAGCGGUGGGAGAGAGUGAGUGAGAGAGAGAGAGUAAGAGACAGAGGGGGGAGAGAGUGUGAAAGAGAAGGAGGAGAGAGUGUGAGAGAGCGAGAGACUGAGAGAGUGUGAGAGUGUGAGUGAGAGAGAGAGAGAGAGAGAGAGAGAGAGAGAGAGAGAGAGAGAGAUAAUGCCCCACACACACAGGUGAUUGUGAGAGUUGAAUCUGGAGCAAUAAAUUUACAGAUGCGUUGAGUAAAACAGUGCGUAUUUUAUAAAACAUGAGCCACGUUUAUCCCAUCCGUUAUAAUUCAUACCACAAAUCUACAAUGAACACAAGCAAACUAACAUCUUCAUGUUUGAUACGAAAGAAAUAACGAAACUAAUUUCUUAACUAAAACAGCGAUUUUUCUCAAAUUUUUCACUGUUGCUUACAUCUUGUUCAUCUACUGCUGUGGAGAUGUGCAUAUGUGAUGUAUUCUCU